CCUACGGGAGGCAGCAGUGAGGAAUAUUGGUCAAUGGACGGGAGUCUGAACCAGCCAAGUAGCGUGAAGGAUGACUGCCCUAUGGGUUGUAAACUUCUUUUAUAUGGGAAUAAAAUGUUCCACGUGUGGGAUUUUGUAUGUACCCUAUGAAUAAGGAUCGGCUAACUCCGUGCCAGCAGCCGCGGUAAUACGGAGGAUCCGAGCGUUAUCCGGAUUUAUUGGGUUUAAAGGGAGCGCAGGUGGAUGGUUAAGUCAGUUGUGAAAGUUUGGGGCUCAACCGUAGAAGUGCAGUUGAAACUGGCAGUCUUGAGUACAGUAGAGGUGUGCGGAAUGCGUGGUGUAGCGGUGAAAUGCUUAGAUAUCACGAAGAACUCCGAUUGCGAAGGCAGCUCACUGGGCUGCAACUGACACUGAGGCUCGAAAGUGUGGGUAUCGAACAGGAUUAGAUACCCCAGUAGUC
rnacentral:rRNA from 1 species